AGAACACAUGGCUGAAAGGAAAAACUGCAUCACUGAGGAUGAAAAGAUCAGUGAGAUGUGAAGGUAGAGACUGAUGAGCUGUCCACAUGGAUGUGGAUGUCACUCAGACUAACGGUAGAAGAGUUAUCAGGUGACACUGGCUUCAGUUUCCACAAUAACAUCUUGACUAUCAAUGCAAGAAGCAAUGCAUAAGGCUAGACCAGACAGCCUGCUCUCCUAUGCUGACAUUGGCCACACCUUGGGAAAAAAAUGUUGGCACUUCUUAGGAAGGAGCCAUCCAUGUCUGAAGAGAAGAAAUGAUAAUUAACUUCAUCAUGUGGAAAGCUUUAGAAGGAAGUAUCUUGUCCUUCUGUCCAAACCCGCCUCCUCCUCACCACUCCCAAUAAAAAUAAAAGCCAAACAAAUAAAACAUUAGCAGUAGCUCUGAGUUUCUUCCUUUCACUUUUUCUCUCUGUUCCUCCCUUUUCUCCUCCAUUCCUUCCUUCUUUCAAAUCAUUUUUACUAGUUUAAGAGAAUGAUUCAAUCUAUAUUUAGAAAUCUGACCUAAAACUUCAAAAAUUAUACUGAAAUAGCUUCCUCUUAAAGGGUGAAACAGUCGUGAUAAAAUAACGACUGAUCGAAUGAAAUAAUAUAAAAUUAGCUGAGUUUAUAGUUUCUUUUACACCUCCAUAAUUUAUGUGGAUUUGGAAAUACAGACAGGAUACUGAAAACUAAGAAGUUUUCUAUGAAUUAUGAGAAUUUGCAAUCCAUAUAGGCUUAAGUCUAAUGUUAGAAGAUAAAACAAAUUGACCUUAAAUAACUUUCUGACAUAACCUCCUCAUUUCAUGGAUGAAAAACCCUAAAGCUCUCAUAAGUAAAGUGAUUUACUUCAGGACACAAACUAGUUGAUUUAGUUUGGAUGUUUGUCCCCUCCAAAUCUCAUGUUGAAAUGUAAUCCCCAGUGUUGGAGGUGGGGCCUGGUGGGAGGUGUUUGUGUCAUGGGGCAGAUCCAUUAUCCUUAUGAGCUGCUUGGUGCUAUCCUUGUGAUAGUGAGUGAGUUCUCAUGAAAUCUGGUUGUUUAAAAAUGUGUGGCACCUCCCCACCCCCCUUGCUCCUGCUCUUGCGGUGUGAUAUGCCUGCUGCCUCUUCACCUUACACCGUGAUUGUAAGCUUCCUGAGGCCUCACCAGAAGCAGUUGUGAGUACCAUGCUUCCUGCAAAGCCUGCAGAACUGUUAGCCAAUUAAACUUCUUUUCUUUCUCAAUAACCCAUCCUCAGUUAUUCCUUUAUAGCAACUCAAAAAUGGGCUAAUAAACUAGUUGUGGGCAUAUCUAUACUGAAAACAUACUUUUAUUUCCCAAUUAUUUAAAUUUUUUAUUUAGAAAUUGGCAAGUUAAAAGAUGCGUUAUUUAACAUUAUACUGUUAUUUUCCCAGUCCCUAGAGAGGCAUUCAAGACAUGGUAUGUAUUCAUGAAGUAUUUGUUUUUAAACAAGUGUGUUCAUGUGUAAUUAACAGCUUUCUCAUUGAGGUUGAAUUGAAGUUAUAGAUGGUGAUUCAGGAGCCAUAACUGUUAGGUUCAAAUUCUGACUCCUCUAUUUAACAGCACUGUGAUCUUGGGCAAAUGGACUAACUUCUCAGUGUUUCCAUUCCCUAAUCUCUAAAACAAAGAUAAUAAAAUCUGCCUCAUAGCUUUUUGUGAAGGUUAAAUUAAAGUACUUGGAACAAUGCU